UUCAAGUUUGACAGCAGUACAAUCAGUUUUCCAUUCAUCACUAGCCCUGUUUUAACCCUGCUGAAAAAGGGCCUAAUGUACGUGGCAGUGAUGGCAAUUAGGCAGAAAAGUAAUAUUAGAAACAGACAAAAGCCUGAGUCUUUUAGCAUUACAGGUGUUUUUUUUUUUUUUUUUUUUUUAGCUUGUUCUAGACAUAAAGGAAUAGGCAGUGUUGUUAAGUUCCCUUCUUCACUCUUCUCUUAAGCUGAAAGUCCAACGAUUUCAAGAUUCAAUUAAUUAGAGACAUGGAGAGCCAAAGAACAAGGUCUUUUUAUGCCAUCUUUUUUCAAAUAAUAACAAGGUGGUGGUGUAAACAAGGAAGAUUAGGUGCAUCCCAAGCUGUGUCCUGUCCCAAUGCCCCCUCCUUUCCCAAUGACAAAAGACUUGGAGAUGAAGUGGAGGAUUUUAAUGUAAAAGGAUAUGGACCAGUUAAGUGUGAACAGAAAAAGUGAAUCAAUAAUUGGGAACAUGAAAUGAUAAAAUAUUGGAAAUAAAAUCAGCAUAAUAGGUACAACCAA